rnacentral:rRNA from 1 species
UACGGAAGGCAGCAGUGGGGAAUAUUGCACAAUGGGCGAAAGCCUGAUGCAGCUAUGCCGCGUGUAUGAAGAAGGCCUUAGGGUUGUAAAGUACUUUCAUCGGGGAGGAAAAACAAACUAAUAAUUUUAUUUCUUGACGUUACCCGAAAAAGAAGCACCGGCUAACUCCGUGCCAGCAGCCGCGGUAAUACGGAGGGUGCUAGCGUUAAUCAGAAUUACUGGGCGUAAAGAGCACGUAGGUGGUUUUUUUAAGUCAGAUGUGAAUCCCUGGGCUUAACCUAGGAACUGCAUUUUGAAACUGAAAUACUAGAGUAUCGUAGAGGGAGGUAGAAUUCUAGGUGUAGCGGUGAAAUGCGUAGAUAUCUGGAGGAAUACCUGUGGCGAAAGCGGCCUCCUAAACGAAUACUGACACUGAGGUGCGAAAGCGUGGGGAGGCAAACAGGGAUUAGAUACC